UUAUGAAUAAGGAUCGGCUAACUCCGUGCCAGCAGCCGCGGUAAUACGGAGGAUCCGAGCGUUAUCCGGAUUUAUUGGGUUUAAAGGGAGCGUAGGCGGAUUGUUAAGUCAGUUGUGAAAGUUUGCGGCUCAACCGUAAAAUUGCAGUUGAUACUGGUGACCUUGAGUGCAACAGAGGUAGGCGGAAUUCGUGGUGUAGCGGUGAAAUGCUUAGAUAUCACGAAGAACUCCGAUUGCGAAGGCAGCUUACUGGAUUGUAACUGACGCUGAUGCUCGAAAGUGUGGGUAUCAAACAGGAUUAGAUACCCUGGUAGUCCACACAGUAAACGAUGAAUACUCGCUGUUUGCGAUAUACAGUAAGCGGCCAAGCGAAAGCAUUAAGUAUUCCACCUGGGGAGUACGCCGGCAACGGUGAAACUCAAAGGAAUUGACGGGGGCCCGCACAAGCGGAGGAACAUGUGGUUUAAUUCGAUGAUACGCGAGGAACCUUACCCGGGCUUGAAUUGCAACUGAAUGAUGUGGAGACAUGUCAGCCGCAAGGCAGUUGUGAAGGUGCUGCAUGGUUGUCGUCAGCUCGUGCCGUGAGGUGUCGGCUUAAGUGCCAUAACGAGCGCAACCCUUGCCGAUAGUUACUAACAGGUUAUGCUGAGGACUCUGUCGGGACUGCCAUCGUAAGAUGUGAGGAAGGUGGGGAUGACGUCAAAUCAGCACGGCCCUUACGUCCGGGGCUACACACGUGUUACAAUGGGGGGUACAGAAGGCAGCUACCUGGUGACAGGAUGCUAAUCCCAAAAACCUCUCUCAGUUCGGAUCGAAGUCUGCAACCCGACUUCGUGAAGCUGGAUUCGCUAGUAAUCGCGCAUCAGCCAUGGCGCGGUGAAUACGUUCCCGGGCCUUGUACACACCGCCCGUCAAGCCAUGGGAGCCGGGGGUACCUGAAGUGCGUAACCGCAAGGAGCGCCCUAGGGUAAAACUGGUGACUGGGGCUAAGUCGUAACAAGGUAGCCGUACCGGAAGGUGCGGCUG
rnacentral:rRNA from 1 species